GACGAACGCUGGCGGCGUGCUUAACACAUGCAAGUCGAACGGAAAGGCCCUGCUUUUGUGGGGUUCUCGAGUGGCGAACGGGUGAGUAACACGUGAGUAACCUUCCCUUGACUUUGGGAUAACUUCAGGAAACUGGGGCUAAUACCGGAUAGGACCUCCUGCUGCAUGGUGGGGGUUGGAAAGUUUCGGCGGUUGGGGAUGGACUCGCGGCUUAUCAGCUUGUUGGUGGGGUAGUGGCUUACCGAGGCUUUGACGGGUAGCCGGCCUGAGAGGGUGACCGGGCACAUUGGGACUGAGAUAGGGACCAGACUGCUACGGGAGGCAGCAGGGGGGAAUAUUGCACAAUGGGGGGAAGCCUGAUGAAGCAACGCCGCGUGCGGGAUGACGGCCUUCGGGUUGUAAACCGCUUUCGCCUGUGACGAAGCGUGAGUGACGGUAAUGGGUAAAGAAGCACCGGCUAACUACGUG
rnacentral:rRNA from 1 species